AGAGUUUGAUCCUGGCUCAGGAUGAACGCUAGCGGUAGGCCUAAUACAUGCAAGUCGCGCGAACUCUUCGGAGUUAGCGGCGGACGGGUGCGUAACGCGUAUCUAACCUACCCUCUAGAGGGGGACAACAGCUGGAAACGGCUGCUAAUACCCCAUAACACAGCGGGUGCACAUGCACACAGUUGUUAAAGACUUCGGUCGCUGGAGGAUGGAGAUGCGUCUGAUUAGUUAGUUGGUGAGGUAACGGCUCACCAAGACGACGAUCAGUAGCUGGUCUGAGAGGAUGAUCAGCCACACUGGGACUGAGACACGGCCCAGACUCCUACGGGAGGCAGCAGUAGGGAAUAUUGGGCAAUGAGCGAAAGCUUGACCCAGCCAUACCGCGUGGGGGAAGACGGUCCACAGGAUUGUAAACCCCUUUUAUAUAGGAAUAAGGACCUAUUCUUUAGGUUUUGCAGGUACUAUACGAAUAAGCACCGGCAAACUACGUGCCAGCAGCCGCGGUAAUACGUAGGGUGCAAGCGUUGUCCGGAUUUACUGGGUUUAAAGGAUCCGUAGGCGGGAGAAUCAGUCGGCGAUGAAAUCAGGUGGCUCAACCAUCUGGCUGUUGCCGAAACUGUUCUUCUUGAAUUAGAUUGAGGUGGCUGGAAUAGGCAGUGUAGCGGUGAAAUGCGUA
rnacentral:rRNA from 1 species